CGCUUGUUGGUUUUAUAACAAGUAAAUUCUGCUCAGUGAUUGAUUUAAAUAGCAGCGGUAUUUUGACCGUUCAAAGGUAGCAUAAUAAGUUUAUUAAUUGUAAGCCUGUCAACGAAUCCAUGGAUCUAAUUAUAUUAAUAAUUUACUCAUUUGAAAUUAUAUAUUAAGUAAAAAUUCUUAAGUUUAUAAAAAAGACGACAAGACCCUAGAAUUUUACUUUACAGUUUAGGUGGGGAAUCUUAAAAGUUUAAAAACAAACUAUUAAAAAAAUACUCUAGGGAUAACAGCUUUAUCUUAAAGAGUUUUUAAGGAUUGGGACCUCGAUGUUGAAUUAAGAUAUAAUAUUUUUUAAAAGAAAAUAUAUCAAGGUCUGUUCGACCUAUUAUUUCUU
rnacentral:rRNA from 1 species